rnacentral:ncRNA from 21 species
CGCUCCGAGGAGCGUUGCAGCGCCUCCCACCGGCAGGGCCGGCGGGGCGUGAGGCUCGGGCAUCAUCUGGCAACGACGCUCAUCCACA